CUGCAUGAAAGAGAGAGAUUUUUGGAUAGGUAUGAAGAAGCGCAAGGUUCACCCAUCACCACCCGUCGUCUCCGAGCAUCUUGCUUUCCUUCCGGCAACACUUCUGACAUUGACGGUAGCACUUUCUCCAGAAGAAAAGGAAGUAUUGGCGUAUCUC